GAGGAUGGUGGGCAGGAGGCCGGCUGCGGGGGAGGAGGAACUCCCAGGUGAGUACCUGGUGCGCAUGACGGGGAAGAUACUAUCACCACUCCUCUCGGAAACUCCUCCCAUGCCCCUAAUUCUUCAACCCCUCUUCCUAGAUUUCUGCAGAGCCCUCAAACCCCACCCAUCUCCACAUCUGGAAUUUAGGGACAUGCUACCCACUACCUACUCUUGACUUUAUAGGAGUACGGGGAAGCUUUUCAGCGGUUAUGUAAUUGUGCCUCAUUUUAAAAGUGAAAAAUAUUAACACAGUGCUCAAGUGAAUGGAUCUGGGGCCGGAUUGCCCGGGUUCAAAGCCCAGCUCCACCACAUUGCUCAGUCUUCCCCUCGCUUUCCUAUUCUAUGAAAUGGAAGUCAUAAUAGUAGCUAUGCUUGGCUUUAUUUUAAAGGUUAAAUGAAGGAAGACAUACAAAGUACUUAGAACAAGUCCUGUUAUAUAGUAACUACUAUACAAGUAUUGUCAGUAUUUUUUUUUUGAGACGGAGUCUCGCAGUGUUGCCCGGGCAACACUAUGAAGGAGAGAAACACUAUGAAUGUAAUGAAUUUGGAAAAUUUAGCAAGAAAUCAAACUUUACCCAACAUCAAAGAAUGUACACAGGAGAAAAACCUGAUGAGUGUAAAGAAAAUGAGAAAGCCUUGAAGAAGUUAUACCAUACUCAAAAUGAGAGAACUCAUGCAGGAGAGAAAGUCUAUGAUUGUAAGAAAUGUGGGAAAUUCUUUCAUGAAAAAGCAUGCCUUACUCAACAUCAGAGAACCCACACAACAGGAAAACCCAGCAAGUGUAAUGAUAGUGAAAGAGUCUUGAAGGAAUCUUGCCUCACUCCCAAUCAGAGAAUUAAAACAAGAUUAAAACAAGAGAGAAAAACUGUAAAGGUAAUAAAUGUGAGAAACCUUUCUUUGAGAAGUUGAAACACACUCAACAUCAGAGAAGGCACUUGGGGAAAAAAAAUAAUGGGCGUAAUGAAAGUGGGGUGCCUCAAGUAGGAAGUCACAACUUACACAAAGCCAGAGAGCUCACAAAAAAAGAGAAAACCUAUGACUGCAAUAAAUGUGGAGAAAGCUUCUGUAAGAAAACAGAUCUCAGAUAGCAUCAGAGCACACACACACGG